UUUGAUCCUGGCUCAGAUUGAACGCUGGCGGCAGGCCUAACACAUGCAAGUCGAGCGGAUGAGUGGAGCUUGCUCCAUGAUUCAGCGGCGGAUGGGUGAGUAAUGCCUAGGAAUCUGCCUGGUAGUGGGGGACAACGUUUCGAAAGGAACGCUAAUACCGCAUACGUCCUACGGGAGAAAGCAGGGGACCUUCGGGCCUUGCGCUAUCAGAUGAGCCUAGGUCGGAUUAGCUAGUAGGUGAGGUAAUGGCUCACCUAGGCGACGAUCCGUAACUGGUCUGAGAGGAUGAUCAGUCACUCUGGAACUGAGACACGGUCCAGACUCCUACGGGAGGCAGCAGUGGGGAAUAUUGGACAAUGGGCGAAAGCCUGAUCCAGCCAUGCCGCGUGUGUGAAGAAGGUCUUCGGAUUGUAAAGCACUUUAAGUUGGGAGGAAGGGCAGUAAGUUAAUACCUUGCUGUUUUGACGUUACCAACAGAAUAAGCUCCGGCUAACUUCGUGCCAGCAGCCGCGGUAAUACGAAGGGUGCAAGCGUUAAUCGGAAUUACUGGGCGUAAAGCGCGCGUAGGUGGUUCAGCAAGUUGGAGGUGAAAUCCCCGGGCUCAACCUGGGAACUGCCUCCAAAACUACUGAGCUAGAGUACGGUAGAGGGUAGUGGAAUUUCCUGUGUAGCGGUGAAAUGCGUAGAUAUAGGAAGGAACACCAGUGGCGAAGGCGUCUACCUGGACUGAUACUGACGCUGAGGUGCGAAAGCGUGGGGAGCAAACAGGAUUAGAUCCCCUGGUAGUCCACGCCGUAAACG
rnacentral:rRNA from 1 species